rfam:Salmo salar isolate Sally breed double haploid chromosome ssa15, whole genome shotgun sequence.
ACAUAACACUAAUCAAGUCGCUCUGGAUAAGAGCGUCUGCUAAAUGACUUAAA